AGUAAUGUAGUGGGAUCUCGCCGAUAGGGGGGGAUAACUACUGGAAACGGUGGCUAAUACCGCAUAAUGUCUACGGACCAAAGCAGGGGCUCUUCGGACCUUGCACUAUCGGAUGAACCCAUAUGGGAUUAGCUAGUAGGUGGGGUAAAGGCUCACCUAGGCGACGAUCUCUAGCUGGUCUGAGAGGAUGAUCAGCCACACUGGGACUGAGACACGGCCCAG
rnacentral:rRNA from 1 species